rnacentral:misc_RNA from 1 species
AAGUUGCAAGCUUGUAAAUUGACUAAAAUGGCGCUGGAUGACUCGAGCGAAGUAUCAAAGGUCAUUAAUUCAUUAUAGAUAAGUAAUUCUUUAUAUCAAAGCAACUACAUUGUUUUAAUCCAUCUACCUCGGAUUUUCGUCAUUUUUUACUUAUGAAUUUGUGACACACUUUUUGUUUAACAUUUUACUACAUUCUGAUGGAAGAAAUGAAUACCUACUAUGGAGGUAGUAGAAUUAUUCAAUAAAUGUAAUGAAAGUUUGGGUUCUUAUAUUUUUUCAAGAUGGAUUGGCAAAUUAAUUACAGAAUACCAAACAUCAAAGACCCUAUUUAGUAUUAUAAUAUCAAGUCUUGUGAUUUUAUUAAUUAUAUCUAUAAUCAUUCUCCGAAAAUGGAAAAACAAAGAAUUUCUUCCAGAAGUAAAAGAAUUUGUUGGAGUAGGUACAGGCAAGCCCAGAUUCAGAAAAAGAGACAAAGUACUUUUUUAUGGAAGAAAAAUGUUACGCAAAGUAAAAUCCAUCAGUGGACAAGUACAUGCAACUGGACAAGGAAAAAAAAGAAAAGCUGUAAUGAGAUUUGCACGAAGACUUUUGCAACUUAAAAAAGAAACAGUACCACAACAAUUAAAAGUUUUAGAACCACCUGCUGAAUAUUUAGAAGAAGAUCUAGGUCCUGGAGAAAAAGUACCACCUGAUGCUUUAUAUAUGUUGCAAAGUAUCAGAGUAUUUGGUCAUUUUGAAAAACCAGUAUUUCUUAAAUUAUGCAAACAUACAGAAAUUAUGAAUUUACCAGCUGGAAGUACCUUAUUUAAAAUUGGAGAUCCAGAUGAAAAUUUAUUUAUUGUACAACAAGGCUUAGUUAAUGUUUAUAUUACAGGACCUGAUGGUUCUCAAAUAUCAUUAAAAUUAGUAAAAACUGGAGAAUCAGUAACUAGUCUUCUUAGCUUCACAGAUGUACUUACUGGGCAUACAAGUACCUAUAAAACAGUAUCAGCUAGAGCUGUAGAAGAUUCCAUUGUAGUAAAACUACCAAUGAAUGCAUUUCAAGAGGUUUUUCAAGAUCAUCCUGAUGCAUUUGUUCGAGUUAUCCAGGUCAUUAUGGUCCGUCUUCAAAGAGUCACUUUCACUGCUCUCCAUCAAUAUCUUGGAUUAUCUGCAGAAUUAGUUAAUCAAGGAUCACAUAAAAAGAAACAAAGUCCAUUUUCUGGAUCUCCAGUUAGAUCAAGAACUAAAGAAAAUUGUUCUACUCAGAAUAUAGAAAAUCAAUCCAAUACAUUUACAACUAUUUCAUCAGAACAUGAUAAAAAUGAAAUAGUUCAUAUUUCUACAUUAAAUAGUCAUCAAAGUGUACCAAUUGUUAUAAAUCGACGGCAAAAAACUAAUCUUGAUUGGAAAAAUCAAAAUUUAAGUUCACAAUCAGGUCAAAAUACAGCAGAUAUGGUACCAGAAUGCGAUUCUCAUUGGCCAAAUUCUUCUCCUAUAACAUCACAACAAGGAUCACAACCAGAUGUAAUACAUACUGGAAAUUCACAUUCUAAUAAGAAAAAAUCGAUUAUUGCUGAACCAGUUCAACAACAAUUAGAUGAAGCACAUCUUGUGCAAAUAGCUACAGAAGCAUUCAUCAGGGAACUUGGAUUAGAAGAUGAUUCAAUACUCAAAGAUGGUAAAGUUCAAAUUAGAGAAGUACCAAGUGGUACAUAUUUGAUGAAGGAAGAAUCUCACAAGGAUGUUGCACUUGUCUAUGUUAUAUCUGGUAUAUUAAUAGUUAGUCAACGCGUUUCAGAAGGUAGAGAUAUAGGUCAAGAAGUUCAUAUGUUUAGUGCUCAUCAAGGCGAAAUUGUCGGUGGUUUAGCUGUAUUAACUGGAGAACCUUCUUUUUAUACCAUUAGAGCAAAACAUUCUAGUCGUAUAGCACUUCUUAGUAAAUCAACAUUUUUCGCUAUUAUGCGAGAACAACCAACUGUUGUAUUACAUGUUGCCCAUUCAGUUGUUCGAAGACUUAGCCCCUUCGUAAGACAGGUUGAUUUUGCACUUGAUUGGCUAUUUCUUGAAAGUGGAAGAGCAGUAUAUCGACAAGGAGAUGAAUCAGAUUCGACAUUUAUUGUAUUAAGUGGUCGACUUCGGUCGGUAAUUACAUAUAAAAAUGGAAAAAAAGAACUUGUUGCGGAAUAUGGGAAAGGUGAUCUUGUAGGUAUUGUAGAAAUGGUUACACAAACACCACGAUCAACAACAGUAAUGGCAGUACGAGACUCUGAAUUAGCAAAACUUCCUGAAGGAUUAUUUAACGUUAUAAAACUUCGUUAUCCAAUAGUAGUUACAAGACUUAUAAAUUUACUUGGACAUCGUAUACUUGGCACUUGGCAACAAGCGCAUACAAAAAAUGGCAGUAACGAUACACAACGGGCCGCAGCAACAGUCGAUGCAAGACCAGCUCAAGUAAAUUUUUCAACUGUUGCAAUAGUUCCGGUAUCCGAUGAUGUCCCUCUAACUGCAUUUACAUAUGAACUUUAUCACUCAUUAUGUGCUAUUGGACCAUGUCUACGCCUUACUUCUGAUGUUGUUCGAAAAACAUUAGGUAGCACUAUAAUGGAACCUGCAAAUGAAUAUCGUUUAACAUCAUGGCUUGCACAACAAGAAGAUCAACAUCGAAUUUCACUAUAUCAAUGUGAUCCAACAUAUACAUUGUGGACUCAACGAUGUGUUCGACAAGCUGAUUGUAUUCUUAUUGUGGGUUUAGGAGAUAAGCCUCCAUCUAUAGGUAGAACUGAACGUGAAGUUGAACGUUUAGUAAUGAGGACACAAAAAGAAUUAGUACUCUUACAUAAAGAACAAAGCGGACAACGACCUACAAAUACAGUACAGUGGUUGAAUAUGAGAUCUUGGGUUUCUAGUCAUCAUCACAUUCAAUGUCCUAAACGAAUGUUUACGAGAAGAUCUCAAUAUAGAAUUAAUGAGUUGUAUUCUAAAGUUUUGAUGUCUGAACCAAAUAUACAUAGUGAUUUUAGUAGACUUGCUCGUUGGUUAACUGGAACUUCAGUUGGACUUGUACUUGGAGGUGGAGGUGCUAGAGGUGCAGCUCACGUAGGAAUGCUUAAAGCCGUUAUCGAAGCUGGAAUACCUAUAGACAUGGUUGGAGGAGUUAGUAUUGGAGCAUUUAUGGGUGCUUUAUGGUGUAUGGAAAAAAAUAUAACAACAACAACGCAAAAAGCUCGUGAAUGGUCCAAAAAAAUGACACAAUGGUGGAGACAAAUAAUGGAUUUAACAUAUCCAGUAACAUCUAUGUUUUCUGGAAAAGACUUUAAUAAUACAAUUCAAGCAACAUUUGGGGACACAUAUAUAGAAGAUUUAUGGUUACCAUACUUUACACUAACUACAGACAUCACUGAUUCUUGUAUGCGUACGCAUACACACGGAUCGCUGUGGCGGUACAUUCGAGCUUCGAUGUCUUUGUCUGGUUAUAUGCCACCCAUGUGUGACCCAGUUGACGGCCAUCUCCUGCUCGACGGCGGGUACGUCAAUAACCUUCCAGCUAAGUCAACUCAGGUUUGCUAUGGAGAUACAUUCGAGCCAGUAUGACCAUUGCGGGGGUCUUUCCUCCUAUUUGCGACCCUCUUGACGGGCAUCUUUUGGUCGAUGGGUGUUAUGUUAAUAACGUGCCAGCUGACGAAAUGUUGAGGCAAGGAGCACAUCAUAUUUUGGCUAUUGAUGUUGGGUCACAAGAUGACACGGAUUUAACGAAUUAUGGAGAUUCUUUAUCUGGUUGGUGGUUAUUAUGGAAACGGUGGAAUCCAUUUGCAACGCCUGUCAAAGUUCCGAAUUUACCCGACAUACAAUCGCGAUUGGCAUAUGUUAGUUGUGUACGACAAUUAGAAGAAGUUAAAAGCUCAGAUUACUGUGAAUACAUCAGGCCACCAAUAGAUAAAUAUAAAACUCUC